GGGGAAUAUUGGACAAUGGGGGCAACCCUGAUCCAGCCAUGCCGCGUGUGUGAAGAAGGCCUUUUGGUUGUAAAGCACUUUAAGCAGGGAGGAGAGGCUAAUGGUUAAUACCCAUUAGAUUAGACGUUACCUGCAGAAUAAGCACCGGCUAACUCUGUGCCAGCAGCCGCGGUAAUACAGAGGGUGCGAGCGUUAAUCGGAAUUACUGGGCGUAAAGCGAGUGUAGGUGGCUCAUUAAGUCACAUGUGAAAUCCCCGGGCUUAACCUGGGAACUGCGUGUGAUACUGGUGGUGCUAGAAUAUGUGAGAGGGAAGUAGAAUUCCAGGUGUAGCGGUGAAAUGCGUAGAGAUCUGGAGGAAUACCGAUGGCGAAGGCAGCUUCCUGGCAUAAUAUUGACACUGAGAUUCGAAAGCGUGGGUAGCAAACAGGAUUAGAUACCCUGGUAGUCCACGCCGUAAACGAUGUCUACUAGCCGUUGGGGUCCUUGAGACUUUAGUGGCGCAGCUAACGCGAUAAGUAGACCGCCUGGGGAGUACGGCCGCAAGGUUA
rnacentral:rRNA from 1 species